GAAAAAGUCCAAACCGAAUCCCUAUUAUUACCCAAAAUCAGUUGAUUUCCUCUCUCUCUCUCUCUCUCUCUCUCUCUCUCUCUCUCACACACACACACACACACGACUCUCAAUCUUCAAAUAUAUAUAAUCCCCUAUAACACUUGAUUUUUAGGGUUGAUCUUUGUGUGUUUAUCUGAUGACGAUUAAGAGUAAAACAGAGAACAUUGUUGAUGACAUGAGAAUUGGAUACCCGACGAUGGGUUGGUGCUCGCAUUGUGAAACGAGCGUCAAAUUAAGAUAUGAAGGCGAUCUCAUAUCUUGUUUGGGUUGCGGGAAGGUUCUGGGUGAUAAGACCACUUUUUUAAAGUCAUGCAAAAUUGUAAAUCGUUCAAAUGAUAAUUUGGUGCCAAUCAACCCAGUUAGGCGCGCAUGAGCUUGAGCAAUUGUCAAUCCAUGAAAGUGGAUUGGUGAAAACCGAUCGCGAACAAAGAUGAUGCAAGCUGGUUCUAGGCCGGGGGAGUAUCAAUUAAUGUGACAAAUUGUCAUUUUUAUCGUAGCAAAAUUAAAUGAUUAUGUUCGUAAAUUUUGCUCUUCAAAAAUACAAUUCUUUAAUAUUAUAUGUUC